AUUGAACGCUGGCGGCAGGCCUAACACAUGCAAGUCGAGCGGAUGAAGGGAGCUUGCCUCUGGAUUCAGCGGCGGACGGGUGAGUAAUGCCUAUGAAUCUGCCUGGUAGUGGGGGAUAACGUCCGUAAACGGGCGCUAAUACCGCCUACGUCCUGAGGGAGAAAGUUGGGGAUCUUCGGACCUCACGCUAUCACAUGAGCCUAGGUCGGAUUAGCUAGUUGGUGGGGUCAAGGCCUACCAAGGCGACGAACCGUAACUGGACUGAGAGGAUGAUCAGUCACACUGGAAGUGAGACACGGUCCAGACUCCUACGGGAGGCAGCAGUGGGGCAUAUUGGGCAAUGGGCGAAAGCCUGAUCCAGCCGUGCCGCAUGUGUGAAGAACGUCUUCGGAUGGGAAAGCACUGUAAGUGGGGAGGAAGGGCAGUAAGUUAAUGACGUGCUGUUUUGACGUUAACAACAAGAUGAGCAACGGCUAACUUCGUG
rnacentral:rRNA from 1 species